UACGAAGGGGGCUAGCGUUGCUCGGAAUUAUUGGGCGUAAAGGGCUCGUAGGCGGUCUGUCACGUCGGGAGUGAAAACUCAGGGCUUAACCCUGAGCCUGCUUCCGAUACGGGCAGACUAGAGGUAUGCAGGGGAGAACGGAAUUCCUGGUGUAGCGGUGAAAUGCGCAGAUAUCAGGAGGAACACCGAUGGCGAAGGCAGGUCUCUGGGCAUUAACUGACGCUGAGGAGCGAAAGCAUGGGGAGCGAACAGG
rnacentral:rRNA from 1 species